AAUUAACAACAUCCAUCUCUUUCAUACUUCAGUCCAAAGAAAGCGAAUACAAAAAGAAUUUCUCCAUCCUCAGCUUGCCCCUAUGAUCUCUAAACCCUCGUUUCACAAUUUAUUCUCCACCCAUGAGAGCCUGAACUUAUUCAAAUGGGUGACGCAGCCCUCUCCUUCUCUCCUCCACUUCAUACUCCAUCCUAGUUUUCCUCCUCAUCGGCCUCAUUGUUCUACAAGUUCUUUUAUGCAAGGGAGACGACAAUGUCCACUAUACCGAUUGCCACAGCUCUUUUAAUUGCAAAACCAUCGCAAAUAUAUCUUAUCCUUUCUGGGGAGAGUGCUAUGAGGACGAAUCCCCUAUCUUUGAGUACCAAUAACAGAAGUCUUAUUUUCAAUACUCGAGGCCUAAGCAAUUUCUGCCAUGAAAAAGAUGGCAAGCCUAUUGUUUCCUAUUCAAUGCGGGUCGUCAUCAUCGUAAAUCACAAGAGAUGGGCCCGAUUCAGCUCAGCCGAGGAAUCAUGGGCCUUUGGGAUUGACUGAUGUUAACCAGAUUGCUUCUUUGGGCUGAUGAUGCGUAGACAUCAUCAGUCAAAUCAGUUCGAAAAAGAUGACUAGGCAAAGCUUAACAGAAACUGGUCCACAUAAUUGUUUAGCCGCCUCGG
rnacentral:lncRNA from 1 species